ensembl:lncRNA
GGUGGUGGGCAUGGAACAGGCUGCCUAGGGCAGUGGCACGGCCCCGAGCUGCUGGAGUUCAAGGAGCGUCUGGUCUGGUCAAUGUACUCAGACAUAAGGUCCGACUUCUGAGUGGUUCUGUAUGGAGCCAAGAGUCGGACUUGAUGGUCCUUAUGAAGAGACCUUCUUCAGUUGCCUUCUCUGAUGCUGCAUGUUGGUCCUGGCUGUACAUCUGUGUGAAUCUGGGCACAUUUUAUUUGGCUCUGAGCUUCACUGCUUCCUUCCAGAAGAACAGCCACUGCCUGCUGAUGGUCAGUAUGGAUGCGGUGUCCUCGGCAUGGGGUUGACUGUUGCUGUGCCCUCCUCUACCUAGCAGACCAGUCUUACGCUAGAGCUUGUAACCGACAAUUAGACUGAGCUCUACUAAUUCUACAGCCCUGAUGAAAGCCAAGGGGACAAGGAUUUCCAUUAAGAUGUUUCCCUUCUCUGGGCUGAGUGAUGGGUGGGCCUUGGCUCUCUUGGCUCACCCCACAACCUCUCCCUGUCAACCUGGCUGCCAACCACUUGUUGCCUCCUCCAGUUCUGGCUGCUGAUGGGGACUGCCUGCGUGAUCUGCUCACCAGCUCUGAAAAAAGCUUUGGAACAAGUCCUUGGGUCUGUCCCAGGCAUAAGGAUAUUUCAGUCUGAGAAAGUUACUGCUUUUGUUGACUUCUGCUGUCCCUGAGGGCUUUGCAACCCUGGAUCCUUGCCUGAGAGAGGCAACAGAUAGAGGUGUGUGUGGUAGUGAAGAUAUCCUUUAAAGGCAGUCUUCAAACUUUCUGAAAAAAUGAAUCAUCUUGAGGGGUCCCAUGAGGAACUCUUGGAGGGAACAGCAACUCUUUGGAAGAAUUCAUAUCACUGAGCUUGGUCCUGCAAGGCAGGCCCUGCCACUGCUGACCGGGUCCAUUCUGAGCAACGAUGUAUUAGCAAAGCAGCGCCCACAUGGAUCCGCUGGGAUUUCUGCUCCAUUCCUACCCAUCCAGCUUUAUUUGCCUCCCUUAAUCCAGGGAAAACACUAACAUGAAACAACCUUCACUUC